CAUUGUUGCCAUGUCAAGUUCUUGCAGGAAGUUUUCUUGAAUAAUGGCAAGCUUUUUAUGGUUAUGGUGAUUUCAAUGAAGAAAGAACCUCUGGAGUGGUAGAGCCCAUGAAGUUGGUGGAGAACCAGGUUCCAUUUUCACGUAGUAAAUCAAAGAUCAUGUCACGUCAACAUUUGUCAUAAGCAUUUUCAAUCGACACUUGUUGACAGAUAAACAAAUCUUCUCCCAAAAAGUUGAAUCCCGGCCCCCAUACCUCGGCUUGACAGGCCGACAAAACAUUUAAGAGGAUGUAAAUUACGUGACUCAAUGAUUCAGCAGAGAGGGUCAAAUGUUGGUGCGUACAAGGAAUCUGCCCACUAUGUCUGAACAAGCACGUACUACGAUAGAGCCGUGUGUGAAAAGCAGAAAAGCAAACAAGAAAACCAAUUUGUUUGGCUGCAUAAAUUCUCCUUUGGCGUGGAACUCCAGCAAUGAUAUGCAUAUCAUCAGAACAAUAUGGAGUGUUAUUCUCACAUCUUCUUUCUAUAACUUUUUUUUUUUUUUUUUUCUGAGAGAAACUUGCAGUUACUACUUGAGGAUCUGUACUGUGGUAAAUUUUGCUUCUAUGUAAUAGCCUGCAAAUAAUAUAGAAAAAGUAAAUCGCAUUAAGAAAAUCUUGUGUGAAGGGGUCGACUUGUGACCUUUAAAUACGAAAGUCAUGUUUCACCUUUCUCACACCUUUCAUUCCAAAUAACUUUUUAAUACAUAGGAAUGGAAUCGCAUUUUAGCUAUACAGUAAACCAAGUUGGGGUCUGUUUCUGUCAUACAUUUCAUUGAAGUACAAUUUUUUUUUUCUAAAUAUACAGUAUAAUGUUUCAAACAAGAAAGAUGCUGAGGAUACAAUGUACAGUAGUUGUUAAUCUAAAACUGUUUUUACUGGGUUAUGGGGAUGGAAUUUAAUACAUGAUAUCAUCCAAAUUCAUGUUUGUGUUGCAGAGAGUGUAAAGAACUAGAGGCUCAGCUUCUGGUUGAUGUUAAAAUCUUCAGAAGAUGAUAAUGCAGGCUCCUGCACGUUGCAAUACACGAUGAAUGAACAAUCGGAAAACUGGAGAAAUGAAGUAAAUGCGGGUUAGAGGAGGCUGGCUAGCCUAGUACCUGCUCCAUCUUGGGUUGGAAAACUUUCAGCACGCGGUUUCUGGUCAUUGCCCCUGUCGUGUCUUUUCCAGAAGAAAAAGCCUGCUCAGAUUUGAUUAAAAAAAAUUGAGAAACAGUA